GUCUAAUUCACAGCCAAACGUAGCUCACGAAAGAGAAACAGAAGGCAGGAACACGUGAGCGGAUCUUGUUUUCAAACUUCUUCUGAGCUGGAGAGGUGCACUGUCUUGACUAACGUGCAGACCCUAGAGUUUCAGCACCACGUAAAGCUGACAUCGAGAGCACACAGCCUUAAUCCCAGAACUCGGGAGAUAGAAGCAGGGCAGAGGAAUGACUCCAGAGACCCGAACCACGAAAGCUGAAUCUUCAUGCAACCAGGAUCAGCAAGUCUCACCCGCCACUCAGGCAGCUGGCACACUCUUGUAGCAUCCUCAAUUCCUGCUGCUUCUGGAUUCUCUCCGCGGACGGAGGCUCCCCUCGGCGCCUGGCGAUGGUGUGGCGUUUUUUAUCCCGGGUUCUCGGCACCAAAUGUCCCACGCGCAACCUCACCAGCAAGAAAACACGCGGGGACAUACGAAUCCUUGCGGCAGCCAAAACCUUUUAUUAAUCUUAAGGAGAGCCCCUACAUCAGUCUUACAAUGGAAGAAUCGUGCACGGAGCAUGCUGGGAACACUAGAGAAGACCCAGAAGACAAUGAAGUAGUAAGAGUUACCAGGAGAAAAAGAGAUAAACUUGAGAAAUGUUACAUUAAAAGAAAGAAGCCAGACCCAAAGAAGAAUGAUAAAUGGUUCUGUCUGUAGGACAUCAGAAACAAAUCUAUGAAGACAGAAGGUGACCAACAGUUACUUCAGAUGGGUGACAUUGACUGUGGAGGGACAUAAGUGAAUUCUCUGGAAGAGUAGAAGUAGUCUAUAUUGUUCUAGGUGGCUGGUAUACAGAUUUAUAGGUAUAUGAAAAUUCAUUUAGCUCUUAGACAAUGUUUCUAUUGCUACCCUAACAAAUUAUCAUAAAAUUAAUAGCUAAAAAUCCAUAAAUUUAAUCCCCAUGAUUUGUAGACCGGAAAUCUAGAAAAAGUCUCUCUGGGUUAAAUGAGAGUUGUACCAAGGUCGCACUCCCUUCUGAAAGUUUUAAAGGAAACACUUGUCUUGCUUUUUUCCUGUUUCAUAAGUUUCACCCAUUCCUUGAGUCAUGGCCUUCCUCCUUCAAAGCAAGUAAUUAGGGUUUUCAGGUCUCCUUCCCUUGUACCUCCCUCUUCUACUUCCAAGAACAUCUAUGACUGCAAUGUGUCCACAAGGAUAAUUCAAAAAAAUGGAUCCCUGUAAAAGUCUUUCGCCCAUCUGGAAAUUUUCUUCUGUCACUCAAGGUGAUUGUUCAGAGUCCAGUUACUGAGAUAUGGGAUUUCUUUAGAGAUAUUCUAUUCACUUCAGCAUUUAAGGUUUUGCUGAGUGGGUAUAAAUUAUACACCUGGAAAUGCCAUAAAGAAAGCUUUUCAAAAAUACAUGUGCCAUUUUGAGCUCUAUUCUCCAGUCCACACCUCUGCCUGUGAGCAAGGAUCUGCACUCCACUCCCCAGUCCACAUCUCUGCCUACCUCCCAGGAGGUCUGUUCCCACCUAGGAUAACCAGACCACAGCUUUCCUAGCUCCUUAUAGGCCUGCUGCCACCUAGGUCAAUCAGUCACUGAGGCAUGCUACUGCCAGAGAGUCUCAGCCCAGCCAACAUCACAGACAAUUGGAUGGCUAAAAGCAAGCGCAAAAAAAAAAAAAAAAAAAAAAAAAAAAAAAAAAAAAAAAAAAAACACAAUCAAAAAAAGCCAAUGCGGGGUUGGGGAUUUAGCUCAGUGGUAGAGCGCCCUGGGUUCGGUCCCCAGCUCCAAAAAAAAAAAAAAAAAAAAAAAAAAAAGCCAAUGCAAUGCAAGCCCCAGAUUUGCUAACAUGCCUGAAGAGCUAGACUAUGACCAUAAAUCUUAUCUUAUAAAAAUGAUAGGGACCUUUAAAGAGGAAAUAAGUAAAUCCCUAAAGAAAUACAGGAAAAUGCAAGCAAACUGGUAGAGGCUUUUAAAGGGGAAACAAAUAAAUUGCUUCAAAAAAAUACAGGAAAAUGUAAUCAAACAGGUAAAGGAAAUGAAUAAAACUAUUCAAAAUCUGAAAAUAAAAAUAGAAGUAAUAAAUAAAAUGCAAGUGGACGCAAUCCUGGAGAUGGAAAACUUAGGAAAGAGAAGAAGAACUACAGAUGCAAGUGUCACCAACCAGAAAACCAGAGAUGGAAGAGAGAAUCUCAGGUGUAGAAGAUACAAUAGAAUAAAUUGAUACAUUGGUCAAAAAAAAGUGCCAAGUCUAAAAAGUAUCUAAUACAAAACAUCCAGAAAAUUUGGGAUACUAUGAAAAGACCAAAAUUAAUAAUAAUAAGAAUAGAAGAGGGAAAAGAUUCCCAGUUCAAAGACCCAGAAAAUAUCUUCAACAAAAUCAUAGAAAUGUUCCUAACCAAAAGAAAAAGAUGGCAAUAAACAUACAAGAAACCUACAGAAUACCAAAUAGAUAGGACCAGAAAAGAAAACUCCCCUGCCACAUAAUAAUGCAAAUACUAAAUGUACAGAACAAAGAAAUAUUAAAAGCUGCAAGGGGAAAAGACCAAGUGAUAUAUAAGGGCAGAUCUAUUAGAAUUACACCAGACUUCUCAGCAGAGAUUCUAAAACCCAAAAGAUCCUGGACAGAUACCUUGUAGACUCUAAGAGAACACAGAUGUCAACCCAGACUACUACACCCAGCAAAACUUUCAAUCACUGUAGAUGGAGAACCCAAGAUAUUCCAUUACAAAAUCAAAUUUUAAUCCAGUCCUGCAGAGGAUACUAGAAGGAAAACUCUAACACAUGAAGAGUAACCAUACCCAAGAAAACUCAAGAAAUUAACCAUCUCACAGCAAAACCAAGAGAAACAACACACAUGCAUGCACAUAUGCUCGCACACACUCACACACACACACACACACACACACACACACACACACACACACACACGGACACGCAGAAUACCACCACCAACAUCAAAAUAACAGGAACUGGCAAUCAUUGGUCCUUAGUAUCUCUCAAUGUCAAUGGACUCAGUUCACUAAUAAAAAGACACAGGCUAAGAGAAUGGAUAUGUAAACAGGAUCCAUAAUUCUGCUGCAUACAAGAAACACACCAUAGAGCUAGAGAGAUGGCUCCUUAGUUAAGAGCACUGUCUGCUCUUCCAGAGGUCCUAAGCUCAAUUCCCAACAACCACAUGGUAGUUCACAACCAUCUGUAAUGGGAUUCAAUGCCCUUUUCUGGUGUGUCUGAAGAUAGCAACGGUGUACUCAUAUACGUAAAAUAAAUCUUUCUUUAAAAAAAAGGAAGAAAGAAAGAUAAGAUACCUCAGCAACGGAGAUAGAGACUACCUCAGAGUAAAAGAAUUUAAAAAGGUUUUCUAAGUAAACAGACCCAAGAAACAGGCUGGAGUCACCAUUCUAAUAUCAAAUAAACUAGACUUUCAACCAAAAGUAAUAAAAAGAGAUGGUAACAGAUACUUCAUACUCAUCAAAGGAAAAAUCCACCACGAUGACAUCUCAAUUCUGAACAUCUAUGCCCCAAAUGCAAGGGCACCCACAUUUGUAAAAGAAACAUUGCUAAAGCUUAAAUGACACACCAAACCUUGCACAAUAAUAGUGGGGUACUUCAACAUCCUACUGUCACCAAUGUAUGGGUCACUGGAAAAGAAACUAAACAGAAAUAAUUGAACAGAUGUUAUAAGCCAAAUAGACAUAAGAGAUAUCUACAGAAUAUUGCACUCAAACACAAAAGAAUACACGUUCUUCUCAGUACAUCAAGAAACUUCCAAAAUUGACCAUACACUCAGUCACAAAGCAAGCCUCAACAGAUACAAGAAGAUUGAAAUAACCCCUUGCAGCCUAUCAGACCACCACGGAUUAAACUUGGACUUCAACAGCAACAUAAACAACAAAAAACACACAUACUCACAGAAACUAAAUAACUCCCUACUCAAUGAUCUCUGGGUUGGAAAGAAAGAAAGAAAGAAAGAAAGAAAGAAAGAAAGAAAGAAA